AAUUGUGGUUUGUUUGCUGUUGAUUCAAUGUUGACAAAACUACAAACAUAUGUCAACAUUUGGAAUCCGUUAUUUUGAAACAUUUUUUUAACCCAAAUAUCCUAUUAUACUUAUAUUGUCCAGUUUCUUUCCAUUUUUUAAUACAAUUAAUUUCCUCUUCUAUUGACCAUCAAUACUUGACUGAUAGUUGCUACUAAUGAUCAAUCCUUUACUCCGUCUUUUUUGUUGUAGUCACUUCUUUGCUCAAGAUUCUCAUAUCCAUCAUUGAUAUCUCUUGGGCCAUCUUAUUGUUGAAUUUAUUUAUUUUCAAUUUUAAUCAUUUAUAAUCAUUUUUGACCUUUUUUGUCAACUUUGAUCAUUUCUCAUCUUUGUAAAACGCGCUCAUUUCAAUUUGCUCAAAAUCAAUUUCCUUUUCCCCUUUUAAGAUCUCAGCUUUCAUUUCUUUUGUCAAUGAGCUAUUGUCUUCUGAAAAGGGUUCAAUUUUUAACUCUAAUGUUUGUUUUAAUAAAAUGUGAUUAAUUGUGAUUAUGCUGUGUUUAAGAAGUCAAUUUAUAACUUUUUGUGUUCGCUUUUAGCUGUUUUUGCUUGUGAUUAUCUGUAAAGAGCUGAACCGAUUUGAAUUGGUGGUUUUGUCACACUGGAUUAGAGUUUUCUUUGAAGGCAAACAUUUCUGAGUCAAUUGCUUGAUCCAUGGAUUUAUCGAAGGAUAAUAACAAUAAACUUGGAUUGGCUUUUAAAUUGGUUUCUCAAGUUGAAUACUCGACUGGUUAAGCCAUCAUUUGGUUUGAUAUGAUUAAGGAAUUCAAAAAAAAGAUCAAGGCUUAAUUAUUUCAUCAAGCUUUCUUUCUCUUUUUUUCCUCUUCUUCUGACCAAUUUAACCUUAUAACAUUGCCUUGGUUGGUAAUGUUGACAUUUAAAUUACUCUGGAUUCUUGGAUAUAUUUAACCAUUUCGAGUGGUAAUAAACGUUUGAUGAAGAUGAUUAGCUGGUUUAAUUGUUAUUACCAUAGAUGAUGGCGAUUUGAUUUCCGCAUGAAUCAAAUUAAAAGGUUGACACUGAACCCUUAAGCCAUAUGCUAUAAUAAUGAUAAUCAUAAAGAAAUGACCAAAGGUAAAAAGAAGUGAAAGGCAAAGAAAAAGCCAUAAACAGAAUUGCGUGUUUCAUUGAAAAAACAUCAAUUCUGUUAGCUGGUAAUAUAUAUUACCUCAGUUUUCUUGUUGUCAUGAUUGUGCCUUCAUUUUACCUCCAAAAAACUGCAAACACAGGAAUAAAAAGAGAAACGUUUAAGGAAAAAGAAGUUUGAAGAUGAAGCCAUUAUUCUGCGGUGAACCGCAAAAAGAACCCUUUACACCUUAAGAAAAGGUAUUCAACAUAACUUGGUUUAAAACUUGAAAGUCUUUCUUUCCGUCUUCUUCUUUUCACAUUGUCCAAUAGCAGUUUUACAUUUAUUAUUAUUGAAAAGCCAUUUACGAAUCAUUUUGGUUGAUUUCAGCUUUAACUUUUUGCUCUCCUUUGGGAUUCUUGGGCUCUUAUGAUGAAAGGUAAUCAAGGUUAUUAUGCUUACCUUUGCAAAGCCAAAAGUGAAAUCAAUCAUCUUCAUUUUGGACUCAAAUUGGUUUAUUGAUCUGUAAUCUAAUUGACCAGUCUAUUGGAAACACAAUAUUCAAAUUGUCAACAAUUAAAGAUACAGAUAUGACUUGAGGAAUCAAAAUAAUUGCUGAACGAAAAGGUCAGUUAAGGGGCGUUACAAGCCAGUCCCAUGAACACAAAGUAUCUAUGGCUUUUGCUGUUCUUUGCUUGGUUUCAUCAUUAUCAUCAUCAUCAUCAUCAUCAACAGCAACAACAUCUCUCUUACCUUACGUUGCUUCUUCUUGAAAUCUGUCUUUGUACUUUUUCUUUUUCCUUACCACGUUGACUGGUUUCUUUCAAAAAAUCUUCCAAUUCAGGCAAGAUUAACCCUGAGGCCAAUUUAAGAGUUUACCUCAGUAUCUAAAGAUACUCAAUUGAUAGUUCAAGACACUCCCAGAAAUCAUCUUUCUCCUUCUCAUCAUCAUUCACAAAAAAAAACAAAAUGAAACAACGAUGAUGUAUAUUUGAGAUAACGAAUGUAUAUUACAUUGUGUUUCUCACCAUAAACACAUCGAACUUUCAUCCCUCUCUCAAUCCUCAUCCUAAUCAAGAUCCACUUUUUAUCAGCUUCAUCAUCAUCUUUAUCAUCAUCAUUUUUCUAUAUUCUUUCAUCAUCUAACUCCUCCUUUACUCCCCCUACACUUAACUUGAUUGUUUUUACAACCUAUCAUUAGUUUCAAUUUUUUGAUAUCGAUACACAUUCAUCAAUUUUACAAAUGUUACAUAGAAACCUUGAAGAAAGCCAUAAAAUGAUGAAAAUGAUGAAAAUGAUCGUUGAGCAGUUGAUUUUAAGAUUUGAUUGUAAAAAUAUCAUCACAAUUUAUUCGGAUGAUGAUUAAUUCACUUUAAUGUUGAAACCUGUUACAUCAAACAAUACACAACAAAUUUGGGAACAAUUGAAGGUAACAUUUCAUUUAAAGGAAGCAACAGUUUCAAUGGACAGGACAGGACAAAUCAACACUCAAUUUAUCACCAGCAUUGAAAGUGUGUUGAAUUGUCAACACGGGAAAAAAGCAAAACAAUGAUGAUUAUCAAACUGUGCGUUUCUUCGAGUGAUGAAAGUGAAAAGAAAAAGGUGGAUAUUCCUGUUGAUGAUAUGCGAUGGUUGAUGUUCAUCUUAAAUUGUAAAAUGUGACGAUAAAGCCAAGCCCAAAAUAAUACAUCGAGUUAGCAGAGUUGAGUAUCAAUGGUUGAACAUCUUGAUUGCUGUUGAUUUGUUUCUUCCAGAGAGAAACUGAGAAAAGAAAAAGAAAAGAAUCAAAUCAAAACUUUGCUAUCAUUUUAAUCAUUACAUUGGUUGGGUUGGGAAUUUUGUUAUUAACAUUACUGAUUGACUUGUUUCAUUGUUUAGAAGAGGCAAUUGCAUGAAAAAAUUCAUUUUUUAAUAACUAUCUGUGUAAAAUUUUUCAAGCUCUCAUAUUUACAUAGAAAUUAUUAUUUUAGAAUCUUUAUUUUGUGAUAACUAAUAAUUUAUUAUCAUAAGAUUCAAUGUGUCAAACUGAUGAUGAUGAUGCUGAAUGUAAUGGCGGAUGAUCAACAAUCUACAAAUUAAAAAAAAAGCUAAUUACAGGUCAAAAAUUUUGCGAUAAAUCACUUUCCAUGUAAUGGUAUAAACAUUUAUCUCUCAAAAAAAAAGUUUAUCGGACUAAAUUAUAGCUUAAGCAAUCUGAAUAUCAUCAUAUUCUAACGAUUAGUUAUCAAGCUCUUCAUCAUCAUCAUCAUCUUUCUUCUAACUCCUCAUCUUAUUUGCAUUUCAACCUCAUUUCAGGUAAGAGUAAAGUGCCUCAAGGACAUUUGAUGACUUAGAGGACUUUGUAUCUUUAUAUUAUUAUAUUAUGAGAAUUUCUCAUUGAAACAAAAACAAAAUCAUCCUAUGGUUAGUAAGGGUAUUACCAAAAAUAAUAACCAUGUUAUUUCAGGUAAAGGGCCAAACCUUAUUUGAUACAAAUAAAAUACAUCAACAGAAUAAAAUAUGGAUAAAGAGGCAACAAAAAAGGGAAUUAUAAAAAUAAUAAUGAAGAAGCUGGUAAGGAAUUAGAGAGAGAUGAGAUUGAUGAAAAACACUGAACAAAGCAGAUAGAAUGCGAAUUUAUCAGAGAGAAAACUAUUAAAGUAAAUGUUUAAUUACAAUCAAGAUGCUUAUUCAAUGUAUGGCUUCCAGGUUCAUGGUAAUUGCGUUUCAUGGUGAUAUCACAAUUCAAAUAUAUUCAAACAUGAUGAAGUCACAAAUGAAUAGUCAAUUUGAUGGCAAAUCACGUACCAGACGACUAACCAUUAAACACCAAUAAUCAUCGGACUCAAGCAAUUGGAAACUUAAUCAUACUCGAAUCGAUGCUCGAAUUGAAAGUGAAAAGCUAAAAGUCGAUGAUAUUAAGGCAAAUGAUCAUCUUUUUGGCUUCGGUUUCAAGUGGAUCAACCUUUUACUCUCAAUCAUAUAUUCCAUGGAUCAAUAUCCGUUCAUUUUGCAUAACAAGUAUUGUCAAGUUUCUAGUAAACUAACUUCCGUCGGUUAAGUAACAAAAAAAGGUUAACAAGGAGUCGAUUGAUUUUCGAAUUCGAUAUCGAGAAAUGUCCAAAAAUGCAAAGAUAUUGAAAGAUUUCAAAGUAAAAGUUAUGAUAAUAUUAAUCAAAUUAAAAGGAUAACAACGCAACAGGAGACUUUCCGUUUUCAUUAUUAGUACCUGUACUAUUAACUUCCGCAGUGUUAACCGUUUCAUAAUAUGGACUUUUUUGCGUAUUACUUUUAAAUUUCCGUCAUUUUUACUCUUUUUUUGCCAACUAUUACUUUCUAUAUCAUUUCAUGUAAAAUACACUUAUUGUUAUCAUUAUUACGUGCUGAUAACUUGCUUGUGUUGGUGUUUAAAGGUAUAUACGCAUAAAAAAACUGUUAUUGUUAUUGAAAGUGAAAUUAAUUAGUCUAUGAGUCUUAAAACCUAACCCUAGGUUAACCCAUAUCAGAAGCUGUAUUUAACCCAACCUUUCCUCUGAUUAAGCACACCUAAUAACUUUCACUUAACCAAUUAUUUGGUUUAUAAUGAGCUUACCAAUGUAACCGGAAAUUUUUAGUUUCCUACUUCUGUAAACUGUGAUUUACUAAUCUUUAAUAAUA